CUACGGGCCGCUGCAGUGAGGAAUAUUGCACAAUGGGGGGAACCCUGAUGCAGCAACGCCGCGUGGAGGAUGACGCAUUUCGGUGUGUAAACUCCUUUUAUAUGUCAAGAAAAUGACGGUAGCAUAUGAAUAAGCACCGGCUAACUCCGUGCCAGCAGCCGCGGUAAUACGGAGGGUGCAAGCGUUACUCGGAAUCACUGGGCGUAAAGGACGCGUAGGCGGGUUGGAAAGUCAGGUGUGAAAUCCUACAGCUUAACUGUAGAACUGCACUUGAAACUUCUAAUCUAGAGUAUGGGAGGGGGAGAUGGAAUUAGUGGUGUAGGGGUAAAAUCCGUAGAGAUCACUAGGAAUACCUAAAGCGAAGGCGAUCUCCUGGAACAUUACUGACGCUGAGGCGUGAAAGCGUGGGGAGCAAACAGGAUUAGAUACCCGUGUAGUC
rnacentral:rRNA from 1 species